rnacentral:rRNA from 1 species
UUGCACGCUGGCGGCAGGCCUAACACAUGCAAGUCGCGCGGAUGAAGGGAGCUUGCUCCUGGCUUCAGCGGCGGACGGGUGAGUAAUGCCUAGGAAUCUGCCUGGUAGUGGGGGAUAACGUCCGGAAACGGGCGCUAAUACCGCAUACGUCCUGAGGGAGCAAGUGGGGGAUCUUCGGCCCUCACGCUAUCAGAUGAGCCUAGGUCGGAUUAGCUCGUUGGUGGGGUAAAGGCCUACCAAGGCGACGAUCCGUAACUGGUCUGAGAGGAUGAUCAGUCACACUGGAACUGAGACACGGUCCAGACUCCUACGGGAGGCAGCAGUGGGGAAUAUUGGACAAUGGGCGAAAGCCUGAUCCAGCCAUGCCGCGUGUGUGAAGAAGGUCUUCGGAUUGUAAAGCACUUUAAGUUGGGAGGAAGGGCAGUAAGUUAAUACCUUACUGUUUUGACGUUACCAACAGAAUAAGCACCGGCUAACUUCGUG